AUAGUAGAAACAUUUGAUUGUUC
rnacentral:snRNA from 1 species